rnacentral:rRNA from 1 species
CCUACGGGAGGCUGCAGUGAGGAAUCUUGCGCAAUGGGGGAAACCCUGACGCAGCAACGCCGCGUGAGUGAGGAAGGCCUUCGGGUCGUAAAGCUCUGUCAGAUGGGAAGAAAUGGGUGGGGGCUAAUAUCGUCCAUCCUUGACGGUACCAUCAGAGGAAGCACCGGCUAACUCCGUGCCAGCAGCCGCGGUAAUACGGGGGGUGCAAGCGUUGUUCGGAAUCAUUGGGCGUAAAGCGCGCGCAGGCGGCUUGGUAAGUCAGAUGUGAAAUCCCUGGGCUUAACCCAGGAAGUGCAUUUGAUACUGCCUCGCUAGAGUACGGGAGAGGAAAGUGGAAUUCCUGGUGUAGAGGUGAAAUUCGUAGAUAUCAGGAGGAACACCGGUGGCGAAGGCGACUUUCUGGCCCGAUACUGACGCUGAGGCGCGAAAGCGUGGGGAGCAAACAGGCUUAGAUACCCUAGUAGUC